CAGUGUUUACAUUUGUGGCAGUAGCAGCAGCUUUGUCUAAUAUGCUCUCUUGUGUAUUGACACCGUCGGGCUGAGUAAAAUAAUAUUAAAUAACGUAUAGAAAAACAAUUAGAUUGCAAUACAGCGUUAAACCUGACUGAGAUAGAAACUAUUACAUUUGUGUAAUUAAAACGUAUACAAAGCACUCACCUGUGAUCCAUCGGAAUUGAGCACGAUUCGUCACCGAUAGUAACAUCCACUCUGGUAUCCUCGACCAUGAAGCCUGAAGAUCUUGUAGCUUCUCCGGACCAUUGCUCACCAGGUGCUCGCAAGCCACUUGCUUUCUUUGCAUCGAUUCUGAAUACAUAAGACAAAACGGGCUGUUCGAGUCAAGCAAUAAUAAGUUUAACAACAAACAAGUCAAGUCAGGCAAUAAUGCUCUGGUUCAAGUAUUUCUGGAGCUAACUUGAUGCCUUCGACUUCCCGCAAGAGAAUGUACAAUGGUUCUAAUUGUUCAUUGAAUUUUGCCAACAAUAAUCUAGAA